rnacentral:lncRNA from 1 species
GUUUGUGUGUGGAACAUGCUGUAGUUUGUGUGUGUGUGAGAGAGAGGAAGUGACUGAGGAAUAGUUUGUGUGUGGAACAUGCUGUAGUUUGUGUGUGUGUGUGUGAGAGAGAGGAAGUGACUGAGGAAUAGUUUGUGUGUGGAACAUGCUGUAGUGUGUGUGUGUGCUGCACUACAGUGUAUCUUAUGUGCUGUAGUAUUUUCCCCUGGUUCAAGAUAAAGUCACAUCUUGCUGAUGGCUACCAGACACACUGCCAUUGACCCUGUCUGCCCUCUGGGUUCAGCAGAGACCACUUAGUUUAACGUGUGUGCCAAGCUGGACCCUCUGUUCCUGCCAAGCCGUGUGUGUGUGUGAUGAUAGGUUGUGUGUGUGUGUGAUGAUAGGUUGUGUGUGUGUGAUGAUAGGUUGUGUGUGUGCGAUGCGUUUAGGGCACUGCCAGCAAAUUAACCUAAAUGAGUGUUUUCUGUAUUAUCAGGUCCUAUUGAGUUUGAAGAAUGCAACACUGCCAUCGCCACUGAAGGAGCCAAACCCAGAAAGAGGAAAACAUUUGCGAUCCGCCGGAAAGACAAGGACACAGACUCGACGUUAGUAGCUUCUACUUUUAAACUUGAUUUAUAAAGGAUGUAUAAGUAGUUUAUAAACUGUCCAUUUUAAUGAUUUACUUUCCACUGCCUGGAACUCAUUUAAGAUGGCUUAAUGAAUAGUCUUUAAAUUCUAUUUCAAAUCAUCGAAGAUUAGUAUAAAUCAUGUUUAGUUUUAUUAGGGUUGUCUUGAUGAUAAAUAUUAAUUCUGCAUCAAUGGCCUGAAUUCAGAGAAUAUUAAAUUAGUCUGAAAUUAAACGUAGUUUCUUUUGGUGGGUCUCAGGGAGUCGACAGAAGUUGAACCUGCUGUGAGUAUAUUUCCAGUUACAUACUCUCAAAUUGAAUUGAUUUGAAUCACAUUAAUUUAAUACUAUAAUGUGAAUCCCAAUUUUAUUGGGAAUUACUUUGUAAUAUUAUGCAAUAGUAUUGCAAUUAUUAUUC